rnacentral:tRNA from 1 species
GUGAGUGUGGCUGAAUGGUUAAGCAGCAGUCUGCAAAACUGUCAAUAAAGGUUCAAUUCCUUUCACUCACUCCA